rnacentral:sRNA from 1 species
GCUGAGUUUCUCUACGGGUCACCUUAG